rnacentral:tRNA from 1 species
AUUACUUUGGCAGAUUAGUGCAUUAAAUUUAGAAUUUAAUUAUGUAUAUUUUACAUGUAAUA